rnacentral:lncRNA from 1 species
GUUCAACUGGAAGUUUCCUUCUCCCUGUGGUCUUUCUCCAAUUCCACUUGCAGCCUUCCCCAAAGGACCUGUCUUGAGACAAAGUCAGAAAUAGCUUCCCUGGGGACUAGGAAUGUCUGCACUGCUUCCCAACUGCUUUCUCUACGCCUGUAUUUCACUUGGCUCUCUAAAUUUAUCUCAGCUGCAGUGUGUCUGGAAUCUAUUCCUUCUGGUGGAUUCGUAGUCUUGCUGACUUCAGGAGUGAAGCCGCAUACCCUCGCAGUGAGUGUCACAGCUCUUAAAGGUGGCGUGUCCAGAGUUAUUUGUUCCUCCCAGUGGGUUCAUGGUCUCACUGACUUCAGGAGUGAAGCCGCACACCCUCACAUGAUUUAUUUAAGCCACCUCCUGCCACAAGCAAAGGGAUGGAAGAUCAGUAUACCAGUCAUCAUCUGAUACAAGUAAGGAAAGU